rnacentral:pre_miRNA from 1 species
UGGGUCUUUGUGGGCGAGAUGAGGGUGUCAGUUCAACUGGCCUACAAAGUCCCAGU